CCUACGGUAGGCAGCAGUGGGGAAUAUUGCACAAUGGGGGAAACCCUGAUGCAGCGACGCCGCGUGAGUGAGGAAGUAUUUCGGUAUGUAAAGCUCUAGCAGCAGGGAAGAAAAUGACGGUACCUGACUACGAAGCCCCGGCUAACUACGUGCCAGCAGCCGCGGGAAUACGUAGGGGGCAAGCGUUAUACGGCUUUACUGGGUGUAAAGGGAGCGUAGACGGUUAAUCAAGUCAGAAGUGAAAACCCAGGGCUCAACCUUGGGACUGCUUUUGAAACUGAGUAGCUAGAGUGCAGGAGAGGUAAGCGGAAUUCCUAGUGUAGCGGUGAAAUGCGUAGAUAUUAGGAGGAACACCAGUGGCGAAGGCGGCUUACUGGACUGUAACUGACGUUGAGGCUCGAAAGCGUGGGGAGCAAACAGGAUUAGAUACCCGUGUAGUC
rnacentral:rRNA from 1 species